rnacentral:rRNA from 1 species
CACGUGGGUAACCUGCCCAUAAGACUGGGAUAACUCCGGGAAACCGGGGCUAAUACCGGAUAACAUUUUGAACYGCAUGGUUCGAAAUUGAAAGGCGGCUUCGGCUGUCACUUAUGGAUGGACCCGCGUCGCAUUAGCUAGUUGGUGAGGUAACGGCUCACCAAGGCAACGAUGCGUAGCCGACCUGAGAGGGUGAUCGGCCACACUGGGACUGAGACACGGCCCAGACUCCUACGGGAGGCAGCAGUAGGGAAUCUUCCGCAAUGGACGAAAGUCUGACGGAGCAACGCCGCGUGAGUGAUGAAGGCUUUCGGGUCGUAAAACUCUGUUGUU